rnacentral:rRNA from 1 species
GAUUGCAGGCUGCAACUCGCCUGCAUGAAGUCGGAUUCGCUAGUAAUCGCGCAUCAGCCACGGCGCGGUGAAUACGUUCCCGGGCCUUGUACACACCGCCCGUCAAGCCAUGGAAGCCGGGAGUGCCUGAAGUGCGUGAGCGCAAGCAGCGCCCUAAGGUAAAACCGGUGACUGGGGCUAAGUCGUAACAAGGUACC